rnacentral:rRNA from 1 species
ACACUGGAACUGAGACACGGUCCAGACUCCUACGGGAGGCAGCAGUGGGGAAUAUUGCACAAUGGGCGCAAGCCUGAUGCAGCCAUGCCGCGUGUAUGAAGAAGGCCUUCGGGUUGUAAAGUACUUUCAGCGGGGAGGAAGGGAGUAAAGUUAAUACCUUUGCUCAUUGACGUUACCCGCAGAAGAAGCACCGGCUAACUCCGUGCCAGCAGCCGCGGUAAUACGGAGGGUGCAAGCGUUAAUCGGAAUUACUGGGCGUAA